rnacentral:rRNA from 1 species
CCUACGGGAGGCAGCAGUGGGGGAUAUUGCACAAUGGGGGGAACCCUGAUGCAGCGACGCCGCGUGGGUGAAGAAGUGCUUCGGUGUGUAAAGCCCUAUCAGCAGGGAAGAAGAUGACGGUACCUGACUAAGAAGCCCCGGCUAACUACGUGACAGCCGCCGCGGUAAUACGUAGGGGGCAAGCGUUAUCCGGAUUUACUGGGUGUAAAGGGAGCGUAGACGGCUUUGCAAGUCAGCGGUGAACGCCCGGGGCUCAACCCCGGGACUGCAUUUGAAACUGGAAUGCUGGAGUGCAGGAGGGGCAAGCGGAAUUCCUAGUGUAGCGGUGAAAUGCGUAGAUAUUAGGAGGAACACCGGUGGCGAAGGCGGCUGGCUGGACGGUAACUGACGUUGAGGCUCGAAAGCGUGGGGAGCAAACAGGAUUAGAUACCCGGGUAGUC